rnacentral:other from 1 species
ACCACCCUGGGGAGUUCGUGAUCGUCCGAGCGGUUCCUGAGCCAAUGAGAUAAGAACGGGGUCCGCCCUGUCCCGGCCCGUGCGCAUGCCCGCCUUGUUGCGGGAAGCCUGACGGCCGGGCGGUGGAGCCCAACCUGGGAAACCAGGUUCAGAACCAACGACGACACGGCGCCCCGGGGCCCAG